rnacentral:rRNA from 1 species
UACGGAGGGUGCGAGCGUUGUUCGGAAUCACUGGGCGUAAAGCGCGUGUAGGCGGCCCACUAAGUCUGAUGUGAAAGCCCGGGGCUCACCCCCGGAAGUGCAUUGGAAACUGGUGGACUCGAGUCCCGGAGAGGAGAGUGGAAUUCCUGGUGUAGCGGUGAAAUGCGUAGAUAUCAGGAGGAACACCGGUGGCGAAGGCGGGUCUCUGGGCAACAACUGACGCUGAGGAGCGAAAGCGUGGGGAGCGAACAGG